rnacentral:rRNA from 1 species
CAAGUCGAGCGGAAGGCCCCUUCGGGGGUACUCGAGCGGCGAACGGGUGAGUAACACGUGAGCAACCUGCCCCUGACUUUGGGAUAAGCCUGGGAAACCGGGUCUAAUACCGGAUAUGACCCUUCACCGCAUGGUGUGGGGGUGGAAAGUUUUUCGGUUGGGGAUGGGCUCGCGGCCUAUCAGCUUGUUGGUGGGGUGAUGGCCUACCAAGGCGACGACGGGUAACCGGCCUGAGAGGGCGACCGGUCACACUGGGACUGAGACACGGCCCAGACUCCUACGGGAGGCAGCAGUGGGGAAUCUUGCGCAAUGGGCGGAAGCCUGACGCAGCGACGCCGCGUGGGGGAUGACGGCCUUCGGGUUGUAAACCUCUUUCAGCAGGGACGAAGCUAACGUGACGGUACCUGCAGAAGAAGCGCCGGCUAACUACGUGCCAGCAGCCGCGGUAAUACGUAGGGCGCAAGCGUUGUCCGGAAUUAUUGGGCGUAAAGAGCUCGUAGGCGGUUUGUUGCGUCUGUCGUGAAAGCCCACGGCUUAACUGUGGGUCUGCGGUGGAUACGGGCAGACUAGAGGCAGGUAGGGGAGCAUGGAAUUCCCGGUGUAGCGGUGAAAUGCGCAGAUAUCGGGAGGAACACCGGUGGCGAAGGCGGUGCUCUGGGCCUGUACUGACGCUGAGGAGCGAAAGCGUGGGGAGCGAACAGGAUU